AGCUCAGGAGGGAUAGCGC
rnacentral:snRNA from 1 species